AGCAGCCGCGGUAAUUCCAGCUCCAAUAGCGUAUAUUAAAGUUGUUGCAGUUAAAAAGCUCGUAGUUGAAUUUCGGGAUCAAUACGUCGGUCGUGCUUCGGUACGUACUGGUGUCAUUGAUUUCUCCCUUCUGACGAACCAUGAUGUCAUUAACUUGGUGUCAUGGGAAAUCAGGACUGUUACUUUGAAAAAAUUAGAGUGUUUAAAGCAGGCUCACGCUUGAAUACAUUAGCAUGGAAUAAUGAAAUAGGACGUUCGAUCCUAUUUUGUUGGUUUCUAGGAUCAACGUAAUGAUUAAUAGGGAUAGUUGGGGGCAUUAGUAUUCAAUUGUCAGAGGUGAAAUUCUUGGAUUUAUUGAAGACUAACUACUGCGAAAGCAUUUGCCAAGGAUGUUUUCAUUAAUCAAGAACGAAAGUUAGGGGAUCGAAGACGAUCAGAUACCGUCGUAGUCUUAACCAUAAACUAUGCCGACUAGGGAUCGGAUGAUGUUAAUUAUUUAAUGACUCAUUCGGCGCCUUAC
rnacentral:misc_RNA from 1 species